AUACGUAGGUGGCAAGCGUUGUCCGGAUUUAUUGGGCGUAAAGCGAGCGCAGGCGGUUUCUUAAGUCUGAUGUGAAAGCCUCCGGCUUAACCGGGGAGGGUCAUUGGAAACUGGGAGACUUGAGUGCAGAAGAGGAGAGUGGAAUUCCAUGUGUAGCGGUGAAAUGCGUAGAUAUAUGGAGGAACACCAGUGGCGAAGGCGACUCUCUGGUCUGUAACUGACGCUGAGGCUCGAAAGCGUGGGGAGCGAACAGGAUUAGAUACCCUGGUAGUCCACGCCGUAAACGAUGAGUGCUAAGUGUUGGAGGGUUUCCGCCCUUCAGUGCUGCAGCUAACGCAUUAAGCACUCCGCCUGGGGAGUACGGCCGCAAGGCUGAAACUCAAAGGAAUUGACGGGG
rnacentral:rRNA from 1 species